CGCGUAGGCGGUUUUUUAAGUCAGAUGUGUAAUCCCCGACGCUUAACUUGGGAACGUGCAUCUGAGACUGGAAGGCUAGAGUACUGGAGAGGGUGGUGGAAUUCCUCGUGUAGCGGUGAAAUGCGUAGAGAUGAGGAGGAACACCAGUGGCGAAGGCGGCCACCUGGACAGUAACUGACGCUGAGGCGCGAAAGUGUGGGUAGCAAACAGGAUUAGAUACCCUGGUAGUCCACGCUGUAAACGAUGAACACUUGGUGUGGAGGGAGUUGACCCCUUCCGUGCCGGAGCUAACGCGUUAAGUGUUCCGCCUGGGGAGUACGGUCGCAAGGCUGAA
rnacentral:rRNA from 1 species